AGUUUGAUCAUGGCUCAGGAUGAACGCUGGCGGCGUGGAUAAGGCAUGCAAGUAGAACGCCCCGCAAGGGGAGUUGCGAACGAGGUAGUAAUACAUAGGUACAAACCCCCGAGUCAGGAAUAACCUACCGAAAGGUAGGCUAAUACUUGAUAGUCCCGCAAGGGUAAAGAUUUAUCGCUUGGGGAUUGGCCUGUGCAGUAUCAGCUAGUUGGUAGGGUAAUAGCCUACCAAGGCAAUGACGCUUAGGGGAGGUGAGAGCCUGGCCCCCACCGAUGGUACUGAGACACGGACCAUACACCUACGGGUGGCUGCAGUCGAGAAUCUUCCGCAAUGGACGCAAGUCUGACGGAGCGACGCCGCGUGACUGAUGAAGUCUUUCGGGAUGUAAAGGUCUUUUAUGAAGGAGAAAGUUUUGAUAGUACUUCAUGAAUAAGGGG
rnacentral:rRNA from 1 species